rnacentral:rRNA from 1 species
UACGAAGGGAGCUAGCGUUGUUCGGAAUCACUGGGCGUAAAGGGUGCGUAGGCGGGUCUUAAGUCAGGGGUGAAAUCCUGGAGCUCAACUCCAGAACUGCCUUUGAUACUGAAGAUCUUGAGUCCGGGAGAGGUGAGUGGAACUGCGAGUGUAGAGGUGAAAUUCGUAGAUAUUCGCAAGAACACCAGUGGCGAAGGCGGCUCACUGGCCCGGUACUGACGCUGAGGCACGAAAGCGUGGG